GGAGUGGUCCCAAAUCGGGCCGUAGGAGGAUGUGACCGCAUCGGGCAGUCGGCGAGGUCCGGCUUCCGGGAUCGGAUGCCUUCCGAGAUUGGACGCUUUCUAGGUCGAACGUUUCGAGGUCAAGGGCUCCUAGGUUGCACGCCUGGUCGGGCGCCAGGUCGGUCGUCCGAGGUCGGGCGCCAGGUUGGUCGUCCGAGAUCGGGUGCUUCCAAUCACGUGCUUUGGGGGGACUUGUAUUUCCCUCAACAAGUGGCAUGUUACUACCUUUAUUGUGGGCCACAACCAUGAGUUGUUAUCUCCAUCAGAUAUGAGAUUGCUUCCAGAAAAUCGAGUCAUAAAUACGGAGGAUGAGAAACGUAUUCUUCUAUUGAAAGAAGCAGGCCUUUCAGUGAGGCAAAUCAUCCGUGUGCUUGAACUUGAAAAAAAUAUCAAUCAUGGAGAGUUUCCUUUCUUUGAGAAAGAUAUUCGCAAUCUUUUCAGCAAAGUUAGGAAGAAGGUUGCGGGAAAUGAUGCUAUGAACCUUGUGGAGUAUUUCAAUUCUUGUAAAUGGGAAAAUUCCAACUUCCAAUAUGUGUUCAAGGUUGAUGAAGAGAGAGGAAAUUAGAACAUUUGUUUUGGUCUCCCGCUCAGUGCUUUAAUUGGUAUGAUAAAUAUGAAGAUGUUGUUGUCUUUGAUACCACUUACAAAGUGAACUCAUAUGACAUGCCUUGUGGAUUUUUUGUUGGGAUCAACAAUCAUGGAAAAACAGUGCUUUUUGGAUGUGCACUUCUUCGGAACGAGACCACAGAAGCUUUCAAGUGGUUGAUGAAGACUUUUGUAUCUACGAUGAAGAAGCCGCCUAAAACUAUCAUAACGGAUCAAGAUCCAUGGAUGAAGGAAGCGAUUGCAUCAGAGUUGCCAAUGACUAAACAUUGCUUUUGUAUAUAGCAUAUCACUUCAAAAUUUAGUGGUUGGUUUACAUCUAUCCUUCGCAACCAAUAUCCACAAUGGUGUGCUGAUUUCUAUAGACUUUAUAAGCUAGAUACACUAGAGGACUUUGAGAAUCAGUGGCCUCUUAUAGUUGGCAAAUAUAAUUUGCAGGAUAACAAACAUGUCAAAGGUUUGUAUGAAAUCAAGCACUUUUGGGUACCAGCCUAUCUUCGUGGCUAAUAUUUUGGAGGAGUGACAACUACUGGUCGAUCUGAAUAUAUCAAUGCUUUCAUUAAGAGAUUUGUUUCUUCUAAUACGACAUUAAAGGAUUUCGCUAUACAGGUUGAUGUUGCUGUUCAAGAAAUUAUUCAAACACAAUUGCAUGCUAAGAUGCUAGCUUCUCACAAGAUGACUAUUUUGAGGACCAAGUCACCAUUAGAAAAACAAGCUUCUGAAGUUCUCACUCCAUUUGCUUUCAAAAAGUUUCAAGAAGAAUUUUCUAGAUCAAGUCAAUAUGCAGUGCUUCAUGAGAGUGGUUAUGAAUAUAUUUUGAGAUAUUAUGAAGGCUUAAAUAAUCAAAGUCACAAGGUCUUUUGGGAUGGAAAGUUAGCAAUGUGUGGUUGUAAGCAAUUUGAAUUCUUGGGAAUACUUUGUCGUCACAUAUUACGAGUCUUCUUGCAAAAAGAUUGUCAUAUGAUUCCAAGUGCUUAUUUGCCUUUGCGUUGGUGCCUUGAAAAAGGUAGCAAUGGGCUUGAAGUUUUGGAGGAGCAAAAUUACCAGCACAUGAUAUCACUUUGAUAAAUAAUGAAUUUAUAGAUGGUGCUGAUAUUCUUUAUCCUCCACGAUCAGUAACUAAAGGACGUCCUAAGAAAAGGCGGUUGAAAGUAGGAAAAAACUCGAUAAAGAAUACAAGAACUUGUUCAAUGUACAGGAACCCUGGGCAUUAUGUGAACAAAUGUCCCGAAAAUAAGGAGAAUGCCAUUGUUUCAAAUGGUUCGCAAAAAAAGAAGGAGGUUGUCGCAAGUGACUGGGCUUGA